rnacentral:rRNA from 1 species
AGAUUGAACGCUGGCGGCAGGCCUAACACAUGCAAGUCGAGCGGCAGCACGGGUACUUGUACCUGGUGGCGAGCGGCGGACGGGUGAGUAAUGCCUAGGAAUCUGCCUGAUAGUGGGGGAUAACGUUCGGAAACGGACGCUAAUACCGCAUACGUCCUACGGGAGAAAGUGGGGGAUCUUCGGACCUCACGCUAUCAGGUGAGCCUAGGUCGGAUUAGCUAGUUGGUAGGUAAGCCUACCAAGGCUACGAUCCGUAACUGGUCUGAGAGGAUGAUUAGUCACACUGGAACUGAGACACGGUCCAGACCUCCGUACGGGAGGUCAGCGAGGUGGGGAAUUAGUUGGAACAAGUGGGACGAAAGGCCUAGGACUCCGAGACCAGUCGCCGCGUGUGUGAAGG